GAUGAAGAACGUAGCGAAAUGCGAUACUUGGUGUGAAUUGCAGAAUCCCGUGAACCAUCGAGUCUUUGAACGCAAGAUGCGCCCGAAGCCAUUAGGCCGAGGGCACGCCUGCCUGGGCGUCACACGUCGUUGCCCCCCCAUCUACUCCUUCGGGAUUGCGGGGGGCGGAUGAUGGCCUCCCGUGCGCCUCGUCGCGCGGUUGGCAUAAAUGCCAAGUCCUCGGCGACACACGCCACGACAAUCGGUGGUUGCGAAACCUCGGUUGCCCGUCGUGUGCGGUCGUCGCGCAUCGAGGGCUCGAAAAAAUUGCCGGGCUCCGGCUCGGCUUUCAACGCGACCCCAGGUCAGGCGGGGUUACCCGCUGAAUUUAAGCAUAUCAAUAAGCGGAGGA
rnacentral:misc_RNA from 1 species